GUUUUUUUUUUUUUUUUUUUUUUAAAUUUUUCUUUUGUUGACUGUUGAAUGUGCAGAGUUAGGGUUAGGGUUAGGGUAUGUAACAUGGUCUCUCAUAUAUUCUGUUUAUUUUGUUUUAUCUUGCUUCACUGCUGUGUCUUAAAUAUUUCAAGUACUAUUACUUUAUGAAAUUUCCUUGUGGGCUCAGAAUGAAAAAAUGUUGUUUUUGAACCGUUGCCCUAACCUCAAUACGUCUGUUGUAAACUUUGAUCUUAUUGGUUUCAUUAUACUGUUGUGUUUGGUGGUGGCUAGACUUGUAUUUGAUUUCUCCAUGCCGUGCGUCUGUGAGCGUGGGUAUUCUACAACAUCAACCAUGGCUGGGAAUGGGCAUGAGUUAAGUCUAGUACAUUUCUCUUAUAGAUGGGAGCAUAUUUUUGAAUGCCUCCCGGUACCUGCCACAGGUUAGUGAAGUUUAUCUCCCCUAAUCUGCCUGUGAGGUAAAGUGUGUGGUUUCCAAACCGAGGAAUCCUGAUUCAAAACCAGGUGAAGAAUGGGAUUUUAAACAUUGGGAUUAUUAGGACGCCCCUGAGUCUUACCUGAAAUAUGCUGAGGAAGUAAAGGCCAUUUGUCAUUGUGCUGGCCACAUGACACCUUCGUUAACUGUCUGCCAUAGAAACAGAUGACCUCGAAACCAUCUGUCCCCAUGGUUGCAAGGUCUGAACGAGGUACCUCACAUACCCUUUCUCAAGAUGGUUUUGGAAUCACUGAUCAUUUGUUUCUUUUUUUAAAAUAAUUAAUCUCAAGUAAAUGAAUUAGUUUGUUAUUGCUUGGUGUGGUCAUAAGUGUCCAUAAUGUGUUGCCAUGUAUCUAUAUAUAAGGUCUGAAAAAGGGGGGGGGGGACUUUUUACUUCAUCUAAAUAUAAAAUAAAGAACUGCUUAGUGAAGUUUAAUAUUUUGCACUGUGUCUUUGUACAUUUUGUUGAUUUCAAAACUGUAUCCUUUGAUCUCUAUGUUGAAUUAAUCUCUUCAUUGAUUGACUAGACUAUAUUAAAUAAUUUAUGGAAUGCAA